UUCAUACCUAGAGUGAAAAAAAAAAAAGAAAAAAAAAAGAUUUUACAUAACUUGUAAUAUAUAUUAAUAUAUAAAAAUAAACUCAUUAAAAUGGCUGGCAUAAGAAGAGAAAAAACUUGCAUGAAUUGUGAAAGGCAAAAACAAAAGCAUCUAUUUGCACUUGUAUGGGCAGUGUCAUGGAAAUUUGUGUCUCCAUGUCUUUCAGUAGUUUGAUUCAUUCCACUCUCCUGCAGAAUCUUGUCUGUGCGUUGUAUAGCUGCAUGUUUUCCAGGGGAACUUACUGAACAACUGAUGUUUGCAAAAUUGAGUCUUAUAUGGUGGUUAUGGAGAGGUAUAGAACGUGUUAUUCUGAGUAAGAAACUUCAGGAAUAUAGUACUGGACCUGACUGUCCUGAGACAACAGGAGUUUCAGUGUUGACUGAAGCGUGUUAGUAUCAGAAGCUCAUGAUUUGCUUCUGAGACAUGUUUUCUUAGUGGUAAUGCUAUUAAAGGAAAGCUUCUAAAAGAAGCAAGCUCCGAAGACUAACUGCUAUGCCAAACCAGGUAUGACAGAAAUCCUGAAGUUUGUACAGAGAAACCUAUGCAGAUCACACUUUAUAAAUAUGCAGGGUUUGAAUGUUUAGGUAAUAAUCUUUACAAGCAUUGUAACUUUCUAUAUUUUUAAAGCCAACAGGAUGUUUGUUUCUAUUAGUGAAUGGCAGUUCAGGCUUCUUGAAGUUUUUUGUUGUGUUUUAACACUGUUUCACUAAUCUCCAGUCAACAUGAACUCAACACUACUCAUGCUCUUACCAGUAAAUUCUGCUGUCAGAUAUCAUCGCAAGGACCGCCGCUACACUAAUUGUAUAUGCCAGGCAGUCUCUAAACAGCGGCCAACAGGAUAGCCUUGAAACCUGCAGAUCACAGAUUCAUUCACAUUUUUUUUAAAUUUGUCUGUAAUACUUUCACUAAGUGCUGUAAAUGCUGCAUCAAUAUGUUGUUUCUAUAUUAUGUACAAAUUUAAGAUUCUUAGGAAUGACUUAAGUAUGAUAUUUAACAAGUUAGUGUUUUUAAAACUUUCAUAGCAACUUAUCUUAAAACAGAUUACAUGCUGGUUUUGCUACUAAAUAAUAAACUUGACAGUUGUCAUAGUAAGUCUCUCUUGACUUUUGUUGGCAAAACAGAAAGGAUAACCAUUUGGUUCUUAGGUAUGGAAUUAUCGAAGUUGAUACAUACCACAUUAGAAAGCAGCCCACAAGCUGCACAAAUCCCAAGAAGAUUAUAGAUCGCUGAUCCAAGGAUGGUGCUAAUGCCAAUAUCUCCCUUUGUCACGAAGACUCCUACAAGCAAAAUGACUCGGGUAUGUUCCAGUUCAGCAGGCAAGGGAAGGCAGGAAGUAAUCAUCGCACACAAUGGACACGGCCAAGAACAUGUAAAGUAUAAUUAUGAAAUAGAUAACGAUUCCUCCAUCCUUUCUCUCCUGUGAUGUAAAAAAUCCCUCAGGAAACUCCGAUGAAGAGGAGAGGACACAGUUCGUCCUGUUUUCUGAAAAGCACCCCCUCUCCCUGCAUAUCUGAAGCAAAAAAAGAGCUUUUAUUUUGGUGAACACUGAAGCCUACUUAUUUUGCCAAGAAGUUGUGGGUGAGGUUGCUGUGCUCACACCCUCCUUGCAAAACACACCCCUGGAGAGAGCAACAAAUAGAGGGAAAAAAAAAAAAAGUCUUUCAGCAUGAGGAACCAUGUGCUACAGAUCUGCAUGCUUGACCCAGUGCAAAAAUACACACAGCCAGGCUGUGUUUUGGCCUCAGCAUGGCUGGCUGCCUGGUCUAGGCUAUUUCAGUCUGAGAGCCUUCUGCAAAGCUGAGAACAGAAGUGGAGGAUGAAGAUGUAACUGGCUGCCUGGACAACUACUGCAAUGGGAGGCUGUGCUAGAGCUGUUCAGAAGGUGUUUGACCUUUGGGUAUUUGAGGCUAUCCUACCUGCUUUCCAUCUGCUGCUCUGGAAUGGGUCCUGCUAGCCUCAUGUGAAUGUCCUGAGUACUCUGCAGGCCCAGUACGUAUCAAGGUACAUUGCUGUCUGUUGCCAGAGCACUUGUUCCCCAUUGGGUAAGCCAAGUGAUUCAUCCAUGGAAAACUGAAAACUCAUUUAUUUCUCCACCCAAAGCUGUGACACAGAUAUGUGUCAUGUGAGCCUGUAUGCACGCAGGUGGAUACUUCACGGCUAUCUGGAGACAGGGACUGUGCAAAGCCUGGAAAGCAGCAUGACCAACAAACACACAAUAGCUAGAUGGGACCCAGGAGCACAAUUAGUUGGCUCUGCUAAUGCCACGCUGGAAGAAUUUAACUAUCCCUUGCCGUGUCUGUGGCCUUUAAAUGGGGAUGCUGUUGGUGUUCUGCAAAGAGGUAAAAAAUAAAAAAUAAAUUGUAGGGUCCAAAGAUAGAUGUUUCUUGAGAAGUGAUGAUCUUGAUUAUGCUUUACAUGGCAGUCAAAACAGGAACAAAUGAUCGAGUGUUUUCUAAUGGCUUUGACAGGAGAUGGCAUCUGUUGAGGUCCAGGUGGAUUUAUUAGUGGAUUAAGCUUGUCUCCCUAGAGCUUGCAGCUAUCACGUGCUGCCUUAUUCUGUGUUCCCUACUGGAAUAUAUAAAAGUGCUGUGUGCAACUGGUAUUUAAUAAUUGUUAACAGUGUUAAGGAAAAUAUGUAGUUCUUACUUCCACGUUGAUGAUAGAUACACUUGUAUACAUACACUUAUACAUGUACAUUUUUAUGUAGGUAGAAUGUAUAUAGUGAAUAAUAAAAUAGGUGAUCGAGGAUUGGAUUCAGGUAUUGUAAAUACCUUACUUUAGUUUACUUCUUCUACAAUGAGUUUGAUGCACUAUAUAAUUAAACUAUUUCAUGAAAGAAAAUUUUAACUACAAAUCUGGCAAUGUUUAGUUCCUAAUCUCAAAGCUGCCACUACAGAUCCAGAUGCCUGGGAACCAUAUCCAGCUACAGACAAAUAUCAGGUGCAAGUAGAGUGGUUAUUAAUUAGCAGUUGUGCUUAUGAACAUUUGUAGAUAUUCAAUUUUUUUUUCCAUAGUACAACAACUAGACUGUUUAACUGCAUAGGAUGAAUGCAGAUAGCAAAGCUCUUUUGGGGGGUGGCAUGGUGUGUGUGUAGUUAUGUUUAGACAGCAAUAUGACCUACAAGCUGACCAGUGUGGAAAUACUGCUGUCAUCUGUGACAUGGAAUCUUAUACCACUUAUGUACGUUGGACGUAAAGGGAGCAUCUACCUUUAACCAAAGUGAUAGCUCCUGUGCGUUUGCAGCAGAAAGAACCAUGCUGUGUCAAGUUCUGGAGGGAUGUAAUCUACUCUUAAUAAAAUCCUUGAGUUUCUAGGUCGUUGCGGGUCUAGCAAUCUUUAUGUGAGUAAAUAAUGCUUACUGCCAUAAUACUUUGUUUGAAAGCAAAAUAAUCACAGCCAGAUAUUCUUAAAUAUUUUGUCCUCUGGUUAUCAGAUUGUAGGAUUUGACAUUAAAAUUGCACAUGUAGAACAGCUGAUGUUCAUCUGAGGUUUCUGGCUGGUUAAGGUACAUCUCUACCUCUGCACACCCAAAUAUGUAGUGAGGACAUUUGGAGAAAUUAAGAAUUUCCAGAAAGCAGUGUUUCAUCACAAUUAAUGUUUAUCUCCUCCUGGUGACAGUACUUUGGGAUAUCAAAAUGAAUGACAGAAAUGAAAGCAAAACAGCUGUUGUUUGACUGAUAGUGUUGAGCAUAAAUGUGAAAUAAUUUAGAAUGGGUAUCUGUGUAAGACUUUAUAUAUAGUAUUUUUGAUUUGUACAGUUUUUUAAUCCUUUUCCUCUGUUGACCUUGAAAGCACUGGUUGGUUAUUAGUAAAAUAUACACCUAUUUUCAGGGUUUAAAAUGGAAAUGGAGAUCUUGCAAUAAUUUGGCUAAAAGCUACCAGAGCAUUCAAGCAGCUGUCAGAAUUUUAGGAGAAACCAUAUUAAGCAAAACCAAGCUGUAGCUGUUUAAAUGAUAGCUAUGCUGACUGUAUUUAGAUACCUGGGUAGGUGGCACUUUGGCUGGCUUAAUUCAAUGGCUACAGAUAUGAAUUAUUAACAAAAUACAAUUUGGUGACAGCUUACACACUAUGGGCCAGAGACUCUUCUCAGUCCACAUGUGCAGCUUGUAUUAUAUCCAAAUUAGAUCCAUUUAUAAUUCUACUCUCCCUCUCCCCUUUCCCUAGCUCUCUCUCUCACACACACACUCUCACUCGCUAUUCUCUACAACCUGCAUUUGUGACUUAGUAAAGCCCUGAUGUUAGUCCAUCUAAUUACAUGUUUGGGAGAGCAUUGACACUAUCACCUUAUGGACUCCUUAUGAACAUAAGUGGCUGAUUGAAUACUCACAGCAGAAAUAGCAGCAGCAGUACUGUUACCUAAACCAUAACUGUAGUUUGUUUAAAUGGUGGGCUUUACCUUUGGAAGAAACAUUCAUCUUUUGAUCUGGAUGGCUAAGUGCUGUGAAUUCUUAGUCUGUCAGGGCAAUGGAUAUGUGCCAGAAUGUGCCCCAUACCCUUCCUGGGUCCUAAAGGUCAUUCAUUUUUAAGGCAGAAGCAGUCUGUAGUAUUGGUAUUCUAUAAUAUUCUGUUAGAAAAAUACUUUGUGGUGGAAAGUAAUUCUGAAUGGGAUGGAAAGACUAGAUUACCUGACAGAUCUUCCACUGAAGAUCAGUGAAAGUGGAUUCCAUGAGUGGUGGGUUGAUGCCAAAUGUUUCAAUCAUUGUUCAAGAACUGCUUUCCAGCUCUGCUCAGCUAGACAAGAUGAGGAAAAUGGGAACCAAGUAGGAAUUUUCUCACCCAGAUCUGUAAGCUGUUUUCAGCAUUGUUGAUGUACAAGCUGCUCUAGUUUUGUUCCAACGCAAUAUAGGUGUGUCAUGUUGAGAUGCAAUAUGACCUGCUGCUAUUGCCAGAGCAUUUUGGACUGUGGAUCAUGAACAGACAGAGCUAUUUAACGUCAGUUUCACUCCUGAAGAAAGCUUUCAUGGAUUUCAGGUUCCCUCCUGUCCUCUCUGUUUUCUUUUGCCAGUGAUUUGGGUUGCCUUAACUUUGAAAGCUGCCUCUGCAGUGAAUGUAUGGUCUGGUGACAGCUGAGUGCGGUGCUAUGGUGACCAGGAGCUCUCAGCGAGGCACCACAGGGCAGCUUUCAAAGCACACCCUGAUCUGCAAACCGAAGGAGCGAGCACAGGAUCCUGCAAGCAACCUCCCUCUCAAGCAAGCACCGAGUUAACUUAAUCCCACUCCACAAAACAGGUUGCUGCCUUCAGACUGGAGCCCCGCAAGGAAAGAGUACAGCGGUUGCCUCGCUCCCAGCAGCCAUCUUGCGGCCUGUCUGCAGGUGUGCCUGCUGAGCUGCAGCAGGGCCUGGGUGCCGGCACGGCACAAACUUCAUGUUCUGAAUGUUAACUUUAGUUACCAUAGCCAGACAAUGCUGCCAGUGGUGUGGAAGAAAAAAUUGCUGCAGCCAGCUGUGCUGUUCACAGUCGGAUGGUUUCUGUGUAGCUCCAAAUGGUUAUGGCUGUUGUGGCCAAGGACAGAAUGAUGGAUGACCUACACACAGUGUCCAAGCAGGGAGAAUCGCAGAAGUUCACUUUGGGGUUGUUAAAAUGCUAAUCUGGGUUAGUUAACAAAAGCCGAAUGGAAUAGAAAAGUUAGGGAAAUAAACACAACUCAUAUGUUAUAUAUGUGCACUACAGAUUUGAUCUCUGUGGUUACACAAACAUUUGACUUUGGAAGUGGGACAAUUCAACAGCCGUCCUGUUUGAAUAAACUGAAUCAACUUCUGAUAUUAGCUGUACUGUAAUUACUGUCAAACCACAACAAGGUAAAGUGGCCUAUGGCAGACAACACACAGAGCUGCAAACAGCAUCGGAAGAGCAAUAAUACGAUGUUUUACUGCACACCUCUUCCACGUGACAUGGGAACAAAUCAGAACCUACUUUCUUUUGAACUCCAGGCUGGCACCUAUUCACAGAACAAGUAACAACUUAAUAAAAUGGCUUAGAUGGAUUUUAACGGUAACUGCAGUAGCUUAUCUGAUCCAUAAGAAGAGAUCAUCUGUUCUAACAGCAGUUUUGAAGAAAGCAACAUUUGAACUGUUUUAAUUACACACAGAGCUGCUAAGACUGAAAAUAACUUAUACUACCCAAUGCAAAUAAUAUGCCUUCCAUCUUUUCUUAAUUACUCGUGAAGCAAAUUAUUACCUUACCCAAUGGAAAGACAUCUGAUUUCUCUUAACUGGAAUUAUAGGUAUGUUUAACACACAAAUAUGUAAUCAACCACCAUAUCCUUUAUUCAGUAAGCACUGCAAACACAUAGUGCAUUCUCUGAAAAAUACCACAGACUGAAACACAAGUAAGCCCAACAUAAGCUUAUGAGCACAGAAACUGUUCUUGUAACUGGUUCCUUUGUCUUGCAAAGAAAGAUCAUAACUGAAAUGGUCUCUGUCAUAGCACUCAUUUGACACUUGAUGAAAACUAGCCAUAUUCUCCAAGGAUUUCCACUUGAUUUCACUGCACUUGAUUUCACAUUUCUGUCUUUUUCUGAAGGAAGCAUAACCUAAGUAUUUCAAUGUUUUUGUACAGGUUCUGUCCAGCUAACCGGGCUUCACAUGACUUCAAGGGAUAUUGAAUGCUGUGUUAAGUGCAAUAGCAUUUUAAAAAAGAAUAACAGACAUAAUGAUUAAGAGCUGCAGCCUCUGUGUGACUGACUGUAGUAAAACCAGAAGAUGUUAUUACAAAUACUUAAUAUACGCUUUGAAGUGAGCUUCUAUGACGUACUUUCUUUACCUUCACGUAUCUUAUGACAGGACAGAUCAGACUGAAGACUGAUUUAGUCAGAAUUAAUUGCAUAUGUAAUUAAGCACUCUAUCUUAAUGUGUGCACUUCAUAAGUCUACAUCAAAGUUACUGCAGCUCCAAGGGCCGAAGUAUCAGCUCUAACAGUCGGCUCAGCUCAGCCACACAAAAGAGCUCCCCCCGCUCCAAAAGUUUCUGGGCUCCACACCUGAACGCGGCGGGCGGCAGAAGGCGAGCAGCACCCGGCGCAGGGACGCUCCCAACCCGGCUCCCGCCUGCCUCCUCAUUUAGAGAGAUGUAUAGAAACCUCAGGUUGUAUGCCUGUCAUCUUGAAGGUGUAGCGAUGAUUUUCUGCUAAGGCUGAUGGGCUGUGCAUCCUCAACUUGGCAACUUUACUCUGGUUCUGUGUUGUGUCAACAUUUGUAUAUGCUUCCAUGCCUGUCAUUUAUCUUUCUGGCUAGUAUAAGAAAUGGGUGCAUGCUGCUAUUCCAUGCCCACCCAUGAUCAUCAGACAUCAGUUUGUCUUGAGAAGCACACCAAACACCAUCUCUGUCUUGAAUAUUUAAGUGAUGAAUAUAAUAACUGCUCUUGGUUCUUACUGAGGCCAAAGUUGGAAUGAAAUCCAAUCUGCUGGCUCUCCAAUUCCACCAUCUCCUCUAGGGAGGCAGAGGAGAAGUGCCAGUAAUUAAUAAAAAUAAUUGGAAAACAUAAUUUUUUUAAUGCUUUGGAAGCACUGCAUGGGUCAGCCAGUGGGGCUCGUGGGGGAUCCUGCAGAGAUGAAGCCAAGUCAGGAAAGGUCAAAAAUUCCUCCCUGCUGAGGCCAUGGGACUGGAAGCCUCAGCAAAGAAAAGCCAUAGCCACAAUGUUUGUAAUGUCUUGUCCUGUGUAUUUUACUACUUGAAAUGUGCUUAUAGUGAAAUCUGGAUGACUGUAUGUCAAAGCUAAUAAAAGGGAUUCAAGCAGUGAACAUAACCGGGCACAGUCUUGCUGUAAAACUGGUCUUUCCUGCCUGCAAGCUCUCUAUCCACCUUAACUUUGAAAAGCAAGCUCUUUCAGGCCAACAAUUCUGGCCAUGGCACUUUCCUGCAAGGGUGAAGUGUGAUUAAUUCCUGGCCCUUGCUAAAGGAUAACUUUUAGGAAAAAAUAAAAAUCCCUGACAGGGUGGGGCAUUACAGGGCAGAGGGCUGGGAGUGGAAAAGCCCAGGAUGGGGGCAUUGCCACGGUGCCAUUUGGGGCCAGGUGCAGAGUGGUAUGUGCUGCAAACAUCCCCAAAUGUCUACAGCAACCACUGAAAGCAAGAAAACUCCAUUUUCUGUACAGUGAUUAGCUUUUCAGUUAGGUAUA